rnacentral:tRNA from 1 species
GGGGAUAUAGCUCAGUGGGUAGAUUGCUUGCCUCACAUGCAGAAGUCCCUGGGUUCAAAUCCCCAGCAUCCCCC